rnacentral:lncRNA from 1 species
UUUAGUCACUCAUGUCUCGUUUCUUAUAGAUCUAUAUUAGUAUUUCAAGACAAAUGUUUUUUUUGUAUUUAAUUUUAAUCUUUAAAAAGCAAUUGCACUAAUAGAUGAAGGACAUCCGUAGAGCUGAUUUCUUCCCUUUUGAUCAGAAUUUCUUUAAGAAGAAGCGGUCUUCAACAUUUCUUCCUUCUCUUUCAACUUUUAGUAUAUUUUACUCUUUUUUUUUCAGAGACUGCCUCAGAGGACUGUCACCAAGAUUACCAAAAAAAAAAAAAAAAACUCAAGACUGAUCAAAUGGCACCUGUUUGAUUUCUAACCUUUUCUAGUUUUCUCUUAAACUGCUUCAAAGGACUGUCACCAAGAUUAUCAAUAUUUCUUCCUUCUCUUUCAUCAAGAUUACCAAAAAAAAACUCAGACUGAUCAAAUAACAACAAUUUUGUUGUCAGUAGAAAUCAAACUCAAAACACACGAGUUGAAUUGUUGUUCGCAGGUCCGUCCCUUGCAUAAGGCUGAUAAAGCAUAUGCUUUAGGCCACAAUUAAAUAAAUAGUUUUAGAUGCCACA